rnacentral:lncRNA from 1 species
UACUGCCAUUUAAAAAUAGGUUUUUAAAAUUUAGCUAAGUCUUAAGUAAUUUGCCGUUGCUAAUAAUUUUAUCUCCUUGAGUCGGUUGUUGGGGAGAGAUGUUAUAUUCAAUAAUUUUUAGUUAUUUUGUAAUGCAGAGUGUUUAUUCAUUUCACAGUUCUGCAAUGGAUGUAGUAUUUUGGGAUUGCCCUGUCCAGAAAAUUUUCAGCUACACACCUUUAAAGGAAAAUGUUUCUAUCUCAGAUGAAACAUGUAAUUUGGGAUGGUUCUUCCUUUGUCACUUAAAGGAAGAGAUAGGAAAAGUCUCUUACCCACUUUAAACAUGAGGGUAAAGGUUUAGGUCAAACUUACUGGCUUUGUCAUUCAAGCAUAUCUGAAUCCUCACUUUUUUCUCUUUGCUUUUUAGGGUCAGAACUGAGAUAUUACCAAGAAAAGGCACAAUGCCAUAAUAUUAUGGUGUUAUGGUAUUUUGACUUAAAGGGGAAAAGGUACUUAAUUUUGGUGGGAUGUUGAUUGUACCUUGUUAAAAAGACUCUCAUUUUCUCAUAUGUUUUCUCCUAAUAAGAUGGAAUAUGGAGUAUACUGUAAUAAUAUAAGUGUUCAUUAUAAGCUAUUUGGAUUAAGAACUAUUGCAGAGUUGUAAGCUUGUUAUCAAAUUAAUGCAAGACAUUUAAACUAUUUUUUUGCAAAACUAUUUAUUUUUAAAACAACUUAAAGUAUAUCUAGGGUGAGUUAAAAGUCCCUGUGCAUCUAUAUUAGAUGGCAGGUUUUGUCACAGAGUCACUGUGUAUUAAUAAUAAAUGUUGAAAUGGCUUCUCCGUGUCUCCAGAAGCAUUUACAUGUCCUCCUUGUGAGAUCAUGGUGCACAGAGGUCUUUGGACUGCCCUGAACCCGUCUUAUGUGGACAUAACCUAUUCCCUUCGUUUUCUCAUCAUGCCAUGUGUUUAAGAUCUACCCGCUUAGUGUCAAGAUUAUUGAGAUUUUCAUCUAAAUGUUUUUAAAAUUGUAUUUUGUGUUUUAGUGGAGGACAGUCUUGAUACUGUUCUAAUUCAGAAAGCCAAAUUUUGAUGCGCUUUUGUAUAUUCAUAAUAUAUACUUUAAUAUGCCCUAUUCUAAUCUAGUUUGAAAUUGUUAGAUUCUGAUAGUAUAAUGAUAAAAUCAAACUAUUUGCCAAAAAGUUAAAUUUACAAGCAGAAAGAUGUUUUGCGAUAUUUUCUACUUUUGUGUAGAAAGAUAACCAUUUGGGGUAGGCAGCACAACAGAAUGUGAAAGAUUGGCUUUAUAUGAUACUAACACAGUCCAGUUAAAAGUGGAAACAGGGAAAAGAGAGAGAGAAAACUCAUCAUUUAGUUUGGUCUAGACACAAUUUGGUUAAAUUUUAGGAUUCUAUUGGCAGUUAACAUAGAUGACAUGGACACAGCCUAUGAGUGCUUUUUAAAUACGUGCUUCUAAAAAUCUGAGCUCAAAGCAAGAAAAAGAAAACAGGAAAGCUGUAUCCAUUUGCCAUAAUAGAUGAAUCAGAAUUGUUUUCUAUUAAAUAUUUCAUCACGAAAUAUGAUGGAGGCCAGAAGCUAUUUUUAGGCUUACUAUAACACUAUUAUGCAUUUUUAUAAAUAAGAAGAAGGCUGUAGAAAGUACUUGAAAAAUAUCUAAUUCUCUUUCUGUCUAAGGAAAACUCUUUCUACUUGGUGCAAUAAUCUGAAAAUUUAGAAGGUCAAAAUAUGUCACAGGAAAUGAUCAUAGACCUAAAAAUAGUUUUUAAGGAAACCAGCUACACGGGGCAACCAACCAUCUUGCUGUUGAAGAAAACAGUUCCAAAAGGCUAAAUCAUUGGCAUAAAGGAAACAAAACCCAAAGUAUGCGUUGUAAUUCUUGAGCCAGUAUUACUGAAACAGGAUAAAAGUUAUAAAAUCUAACAUAGGUUAAUGCAAUGUCUCUGCUAGUGCUACAAGUCUAAAAUAUCUUUGUAACAAUGCUUUCAGAAAUGCCAGUUUUAAUUACAUUUCACAUUGUAUAUGAGAGAUACUGCUUUAUGAAUGAAUCGGAAUAAUACAUUUUCAUUUAAAUCUUAAUUGCUUUUCAUUAAAUGCGAAGUCUUAAUUUCAAAAUGAAAUCACACUACCAGCAAUAGACAGUUUUCUUGAAAACUCUAAUAAGGAACAAUAGCCAGUUCCGUAAAUAACUUUAAAAUUCUAAAAGUGUUGGUACACUAGCAAUCACAAAUAUGGUUUCUUUUAAUACUUUUUUAAUCCUGUAAAGAAGGGUUUUUAUAAACAUUCUUUUUAUUAAUCAGUCAUAACAUGGCGAAGUGUGUAGUUGCUGUUUCUGAAAAGUGAUCCAAACUCUACAUCCAGAGAUUAUGAAAAAUUCUUAUAGAAUUUUGUAACAAGUAUUUACAUGUUGGGUGAAAGAAAUUUCAUAGUCGUUGGAGUGCCAUGAAAUUAAUACUUGCAAUUCAGAUUGCGGUAGUUUACACUUUUUCUGUAUGUUUCAAAUCAGGUGUGUACCAUUUGUACUGAGAACACCACAGAAUGAAUUAUCCAAAGUCCAUUGAUUUUAAUACGUGUUUUGGUUUGUAAACAAAUUAUAGUAAUUUCUUGCACAUUUUUGGAAAUUAAUUGUAUAAGAAUUUAUGUAUCUGCUUCUAGAUACAGUGUGUAAAUAAAAAAUUUCGUUCAC